UCCAAGCAUUACCUUCCAUGAU
rnacentral:siRNA from 1 species